rnacentral:lncRNA from 10 species
AGGUUGAGGUGCGGCGCGGGCCCUCCUCCCAUUGGAUCCGGCGCUCCCGGCAGGCCUACAGAAUUGGGCAUGAAACAGCAAAGGAUGGCCUCUGCUUCCACCACCAUCAGAAAUGUUAUAUUUUCACCAGUGCACCAUAAUGUAGCAGUCUCUCCAUAAUGUAGCAGGUGAGGUAUCACCUGGAGUUCUUCGUCUCAUGACCAAGAAAAUUAAGGAGCGUGGAUGCAAAGGAUGAAGUUGCAGCGAAAGUUUAAUAAGCAAAAGAAGAAAGCUCUCCACAGUGGAGAGGGGACCUGGAGGAGGGUUGCUGCUUUUACAGGUGACUGCAAAGGCUUUUAUAAGAACCGGUGAGGGCUGGGCAUCUCAUUUGCAUAAGGCAUGAAUUUCUGGUAGCUCCACCUCAUCCUUCUAGUGUGCAUGUGGGCCCUUAGCUUAAGUUUUAUUCCAUAUUGCUUUUUUCCCCUUACUGCGCAUGUGUCAGGGGAUGGAAUUUUCCACUGCAGAAGUAUCUGGGCAAGUCAUCUGGGUAGGCUUUCAUAUCUGUGUGGCUGUGGGAAUGUCUUAGUCAAGGCCACCUGUGCAGAUCCCCUUAUCUGUGCCUGCAGCUUGAUUUUUCAGGCUGUUCUUUUGUUUGAAAGAAUUUAACCAAGGACCCACCCUAACUGAUGCCUGAAAGGUUUCUUCCUUUCUCCUCUCUCAGUAUCUUCCCUUGUGGACUACACCAGUGUCGAAAUGUUCUUGCUAAAAAUGAUGCAGGGAGAAAGACAAAGUUACAAAGUUGGCAUCCACAAUUUUUCCAUCUUGCCCCACUUC